GAUGAACGCUGGCGGCGUGCCUAAUACAUGCAAGUCGAGCGAACAGACGAGGAGCUUGCUCCUUUGACGUUAGCGGCGGACGGGUGAGUAACACGUGGGUAACCUACCUAUAAGACUGGGAUAACUUCGGGAAACCGGAGCUAAUACCGGAUAAUAUUUCGAACCGCAUGGUUCGAUAGUGAAAGAUGGCUUUGCUAUCACUUAUAGAUGGACCUGCGCCGUAUUAGCUAGUUGGUAAGGUAACGGCUUACCAAGGCAACGAUACGUAGCCGACCUGAGAGGGUGAUCGGCCACACUGGAACUGAGACACGGUCCAGACUCCUACGGGAGGCAGCAGUAGGGAAUCUUCCGCAAUGGGCGAAAGCCUGACGGAGCAACGCCGCGUGAGUGAUGAAGGUCUUCGGAUCGUAAAACUCUGUUAUUAGGGAAGAACAAACGUGUAAGUAACUGUGCACGUCUUGACGGUACCUAAUCAGAAAGCCACGGCUAACUACGUGCCAGCAGCCGCGGUAAUACGUAGGUGGCAAGCGUUAUCCGGAAUUAUUGGGCGUAAAGCGCGCGUAGGCGGUUUUUUAAGUCUGAUGUGAAAGCCCACGGCUCAACCGUGGAGGGUCAUUGGAAACUGGAAAACUUGAGUGCAGAAGAGGAAAGUGGAAUUCCAUGUGUAGCGGUGAAAUGCGCAGAGAUAUGGAGGAACACCAGUGGCGAAGGCGACUUUCUGGUCUGUAACUGACGCUGAUGUGCGAAAGCGUGGGGAUCAAACAGGAUUAGAUACCCUGGUAGUCCACGCCGUAAACGAUGAGUGCUAAGUGUUAGGGGGUUUCCGCCCCUUAGUGCUGCAGCUAACGCAUUAAGCACUCCGCCUGGGGAGUACGACCGCAAGGUUGAAACUCAAAGGAAUUGACGGGGACCCGCACAAGCGGUGGGGCAUGUGGUUUAAUUCGAAGCAACGCGAAGAACCUUACCAAAUCUUGACAUCCUUUGACCCUUCUAGAGAUAGAAGUUUCCCCUUCGGGGGACAAAGUGACAGGUGGUGCAUGGUUGUCGUCAGCUCGUGUCGUGAGAUGUUGGGUUAAGUCCCGCAACGAGCGCAACCCUUAAGCUUAGUUGCCAUCAUUAAGUUGGGCACUCUAAGUUGACUGCCGGUGACAAACCGGAGGAAGGUGGGGAUGACGUCAAAUCAUCAUGCCCCUUAUGAUUUGGGCUACACACGUGCUACAAUGGACAAUACAAAGGGCAGCGAAACCGCGAGGUCAAGCAAAUCCCAUAAAGUUGUUCUCAGUUCGGAUUGUAGUCUGCAACUCGACUACAUGAAGCUGGAAUCGCUAGUAAUCGUAGAUCAGCAUGCUACGGUGAAUACGUUCCCGGGUCU
rnacentral:rRNA from 1 species